rnacentral:rRNA from 1 species
CCUACGGGGGGCUGCAGUGGGGAAUAUUGGACAAUGGGCGCAAGCCUGAUCCAGCCACGCCGCGUGAGUGAUGAAGGCCUUCGGGUCGUAAAGCUCUGUGGGGAGGGACGAACCGCUGUCGGUUAAUACCCGGCAGCCUGACGGUACCUCCUUAGCAAGCACCGGCUAACUUCGUGCCAGCAGCCGCGGUAAUACGAAGGGUGCAAACGUUGCUCGGAAGCAUUGGUAGUAAGGCUCGCGUGUUCGAUGUGAAAGCCCUCGGCUUAACCAAGGAAGUGCAUCCAAAACUGCUGAGCUUGAGUAGUUAAGAGGAUCGCGGAAUUCCCGGUGUAGAGGUGAAAUUCGUAGAUAUCGGGAGGAACACCAGUGGCGAAGGCGGCGAUCUGGGAACAUACUGACGCUGAGGUGCGAAAGCGUGGGGAGCAAACAGGAUUAGAUACCCCUGUAGUC